UCUGAAGGUAUCUACGUUCUGGCAGGAGAUCCAGCGAUACUGAAUCUGGCAUGUAAGAAGAAAUCUGAAGAUAUUUACGUCCUGGCAGGAGAUCCAGCGAUACUGAAUCUGGCUCAGAAGAACCAGACUGAAUUUUCCACAUUUCUACCAAACACACAACCACCCCAAGUUCCGGU